rnacentral:rRNA from 1 species
UAGGGAAUAUUGCGCAAUGAACGAAAGUUUGACGCAGCGACGCCGCGUGAGGGAUGAAGGUCUUCGGAUCGUAAACCUCUGUCAAGAGGGAAGAAGUGUAGCAGCUCUAACAUAGCUGUUAUUUGACGGUACCUCUGAAGGACGCACCGGCUAACUCCGUGCCAGCAGCCGCGGUAAUACGGAGGGUGCAAGCGUUCAUCGGAAUUACUGGUCGUAAAGCGCGCGUAAGCGGAAUUUUAAGUCAGAAGUGAAAUCCCCCGGCU